rnacentral:tRNA from 1 species
GGGGAUGUGGCUCUGUGGUAGAGUGCUUGUCUAAUCUGCAUGCAACCUGGGUUUGAUCCCCUGCACCACCC